rnacentral:lncRNA from 1 species
UACUUCAAAAAGUAUUUCUUCCUUGAAGAGCUUCCAAUCGUUCGCCUGGGAAUUUGCGUUUUAGACGACUGCAGUCAAGACGAUCUACAAGCUUUAGUAGACUCAGUAAAGCCUUCAGUGCUGAAUAUUGAAGUGUCCAACUGCCUCACAAUACAGUCUCAACCAUGGAACACAACACAAAAGUCCAUUGUGAUACUUUUAGGAUUUCUAGUCAUCGCCGUUGUUGGCAGUACAUCAGUCGACCUCUUCAUACAGUCCAGGCGAAAACUUCCUGGAA